UUGGCCGUUCCGCACCUGCAAUGCGUCAAGCCGAGGCGGGCGUGGAGGGCUCUGCGUGAAUGGUCGUGGCUGACGGGGGAGCCCGCGGCCUUGGGGGGAGAAGCGGCUCCGCCUAUGGCCGCCAUCUUUACUAGUGGCAGAGCGGAUGGCCCCGGACGAGGAGGGGCUUUCGCGGCGCUACUUAGCCAGCGGAGAGAGGCUCUGUGACAGAAGUUUUGUUUGGGGUUUAUUUUUCCCUUUUUACUUUGCGGCAGAAGAAAACAACCAAGUAUUUCAGAAGUGCAGAGGGAAAAUCAUUUUACUAGAGGGAUCAGAAAAAGCUCUGUGGAAGAAGCUGGUGUCAGGUUGGUUAAGGGUAUACAGAAAAUGGCAACAUGUUCCGGGCAAGAAGAAAAGAUUAUCUUGUAUGCAUGGAAUCCAUUGAAGACUCUUGACAAAAUCACAGGGCACCGGAGGAGUGUUUUUUUUCUGCUCUUGGUCAAGUCUGCGAUCUCCACCCGCCUUGCCUCCCCAAGAAAAAAAGCAAUAAUACAAAGAGCUGCAGACAAGGUCGGCUCCGGGCUGUGUUCUGACAGAGAGGAACGUUUUUAACCAGAGACCACCAGAAAGCUCCUUGAGGCCGAAUGAGUUCAGAGACCUGUUUCUCCAGUUUGCCUGAGUCAGUGAGCGAGGAGUCCUUCCUUCUUAAGAUGAAAGGAGUUUGCUCUCACGUGUUCUAGGCGAACCAGUUUAAAAGUCUCAUUCAUCACUGAAAUGCAUUGGAACACCUCCAGACGGUAAGGCAGGUUUCCUCUGCUCCUCUGCCAGCUCCUGGGCUUCUACAUCCUGCAGUCCAGACACACAGAGAGGUCACUUUCUUCUCUCAGCUCUAGUUCCCAAAUCCCUGGAGAAGAACUUUGCUUGGCCUGGCUUGGGUCAGACAGAGUUGAGCACUUACCAGCUGAAGCCUUGACUGAGUUGGGUCACAUACCUACCGGGGACACUCAGGUGGGGCCAGGACAGCCAGGCCACAGUGACCACCUCCCGGAUUCAGGAAAGAGGCUGCUAAUUAGGCAAAACAAUAGGAGUCCACAGCCUAUUCUUUUCCCUAUAAUAUCCUUCUCCAAACAUAGAUGGGAAUCACGCAGGCAUUCUUUUGCCAACAAACAAGGGCUAAGCACUUACUGACUUUGUGUCCAAGUGCCUCCUGGCUGUCUGUGUCUUCACACUGUGUCUCCUAUGACAUUGCUUUCAGGCUGUUUUCCAUAGCUUUCAGCCUCUACUCAUUUUUCAUUCUUCAUGGCCAGAUGGGCUGCCUACUCGCUGGGACCCAACUGAACAUCUCUCAUCCAACUCCUGCAACUAAACCAGACCGCCUUUCCGCAGAUCUCUCCUGCACAAUCUCCUCCGCUGCUCCUUCACAUAGCUUCCCUCCCGCCAGCCCCAGAGAAAAGAUUCAUUCUUGUCGUGUCUGGAGGUGAUCAAAAUCCAUGAGGCGGUGCAGGCUAAAUGAGAACACACUGGGAAGUAAGAUGGAUCUAGAACAGCAAGUGCCUGGCUAGAGGGAGUAAUCUCUGCCACAAAGAAUAGAAGAAGUACAAGUGGAUGAGUGGUGCAUUCUCACCCUUUAGUCAAACUACAUAUGAAGCCAAAUCAGAAUUUGAAAUCAUUUUUGGCUUAUUAUAAGAAAUCCCUGCCACAGACACCGGAAAUACCCAAAGUCAGUAGGGUCAAAUAAUAACAAAAUAAUAACAAUAACAACAACAGUUAAAGUGAGCUGUUCCUAUGCAGUCUGGAGUGGAAUUUCCUAUGUAGAAAAGACUAUUCAAAAAUUUACUUUUAGGGGCACAUGGGUAGCUCAGUCUGUUGGGCAUAUGACUCUUGGGCUCAGCUCAGAUUAAGAUCCCAGGGUCGUGGGAUCAAGCCCCACAUUGGACUCUGCUGACAGCAUGCAGCCUGCUUGGGAU